UUGAAAUCUGGCGUCUUCGACGUCCGAGUUGUAAUUUGAAGAAGGCGACUUUGUAGCUGGUCCUUGUCUAUGUUCCUUGGAACAGGACGUCAUAGAGGGUGAGAAUCCCGUGUGGCGAGGAUCCCAGUUAUUUGUAAAGUGCUUUCGACGAGUCGAGUUGUUUGGGAAUGCAGCUCUAAGUGGGUGGUAAAUUCCAUCUAAAGCUAAAUAUUGGCGAGAGACCGAUAGCGAACAAGUACAGUGAUGGAAAGAUGAAAAGAACUUUGAAAAGAGAGUGAAAAAGUACGUGAAAUUGUUGAAAGGGAAGGGCAUUUGAUCAGACAUGGCGUUUGCUUCGGCUUUCGCUGGGCCAGCAUCAGUUUUAGCGGUUGGAUAAAUCCUCGGGAAUGUGGCUCUGCUUCGGUAGAGUGUUAUAGCCCGUGGGAAUACAGCCAGCUGGGACUGAGGAUUGCGACUUUUGUCAAGGAUGCUGGCGUAAUGGUUAAAUG
rnacentral:rRNA from 1 species